CAUGCAAGCUGAACAAGCCUAACUGAUAGACCGAGGUUAUCAGCCGGAAAGCCCUGGGUGUGUGGGUGAGGCAGCCCUCAUGACCAUCCUGAGGAAGCCGAGGGGCCCUUUGACCAGGAAGCCAUGAGGCUGAACGGAGAAUGCAUCAGACACAGCAAGCAGGGCUCCAAUUACUAGCCUCAAAGUGGAUCAGAAUGCAAGGCCCUUGAUGCAUAGAACAGUUUUGUCAUUAGAAAGUGGAUGGAAAGAAUUUUGAUGAAAGUUCUGAAGUCUUGCAAUGCAAACGAAAUGGGCAGAUGGUUGGUUCCCAUUGCAUCAACAAACAAGGAAACCAAGCUGAAAGAAGAGGCACAAGUUGUUUCAUCUGAGACUAAAAAAAAAGCUAGACAGGAGGCAACAGAUGAUGUGAGUGAUACUGAUGAGUCAAAAGGCGCAGUCAGCGGCAGAGUGUGCGCUUCGUCCCGGAGACAAGAGAAUCAACGGAGAGAAUGUUACGUCAACCACUAAUUUGUUAAUUAAUUUUACAGAAAGGCAUCUAUGUCUCCUUACCCUCCCCCCACAAUGGCAUUUCCUCAUUCCACUGUACACUGACGUGGAGAAUUUUUCAAAAACACAAAUCUUGUAUAGUUCCUGACUAUUCACUCAAGCGGUCCGGGUUAUUUUUAUUUUUAUUUUUUUUGUCUCAAUGGAUCUGAACCAGAGCUUCAUGUUUGUCAGUGGGUCUCUGGCCUCCUUAUGAGAGGGAAUUACUCGUUACACCACCAUCCCCCACCCCUACAAGUAUGCUGUUCACAGUGAAGUCCAUCAUCAGUGUAGGGAGUGGGACCCGGCCGGGGUCAUUGGCUGAAAUCCUGCUGCCACUAGAAAUCAAGAAAAACACACAAGAGAAAUAGAGAAUGAUGAGUGGCUGAAAUAUCUACUGGGAAGAUAUUUAAAAUCCUCGGAAAUGUCGAGAGUAGGGCUGUGAACCCUAUGUUAGGACAAAGUAAUUCACAUCGCAUAAUCAUAAAGAGAUCAUCUGGUCCAUUGUUUUUAAAAUUAUUUCUUAGCAGAUUCUGUUCUCAAGCAAAAUCUUAGGCAGGCUUCUAAUACCACAAAAGGAAUAGUGAAGAUAAAGGAAGAGCUGCUCAUACUGGGAAUAUCCCAGCAUAGAUUAUUCUACAUGGUUCUAAGACAUUUCUAAUUCAAAACGGCAAGACUAAAGAGCAAAGAGUUUGCAAGAAUGUGAAUUUGCUGUUCAGUAAUUGAGCUCACUGAAAACAAAAGUGCAGCUACAACCCAAUCUCUUUUCAGAGCACAUUGGAAUGGGGUUCUUUCUAGCACUCAGUAUGUUCACAACAACUGUUCAGUGAAGUAUGGGGUACAUGGAAAAAUCUACAUUGCAGUUUAGAAAACUUCCCAGUGAAUGGUCGAAUUCAAACACCAUAUGUCAAACCAUUCACUUUUAUUGAUCAAGACAGGUUGUUCUCGUAGAGGGAAGGCUUAAUUUAAUGACUCUGGAUAACAGGUGGCUUGGUUCAUAUGUUGAUAACUAUAGAUAAUGUGCUCUUGUUUUUUAUAGUAGUACACACAUCUUUCGGGACUGGAAGCCCCAAAUAACAAAAUGCCUCAUUCACCAGCCUCUUUGCCUAUCAUCACCAUCACCCGCCUCUUCCUGGUCAUACCUGAGAAACUUCUCCUAGUCAAGGUACUAUGGUCAGUGCCGACAGGGCUUCCACGAGCUCCUCCCAGAGUGACACCGUCUGUCUAUGUGAAUCAGAGAAGGCUCUUCCUUUUCCAGUACUAUGGAAUAAUUACGAGGGAUGCAUUGAAUCCUAGCAGCAUGGGCUGUCCUCAGUAGGAUGAUGCUGUGCAUGAUGGAAAGUCACUAUACCACUUAAGAGGAGCAGUUGCUGAGCCCUCAUCCUUUACCAGCCCUCCACUGCUCUUUCCCAUCAUAGCCUCAGGGUGACUAUGAAGGGGCAGCAGGAGGAGACCUUUCUGUUGAGGGCAUAGUUCUGCACAGGAAUCUACACAUCUUGUAGGAUGGCACGGGACUACACACAUUGUAGCAAUAUGAAUUUCCUGGUUUUAAUAUUGCAAUGUUGUUCCACAACACGUAACCACAGAGGGAAGCCGCAAAGUGGAUUAGAGAUCUCUCCAUAUUAGUUUUGCAUUUUCCUGUUAAUCUAUAAUCAUGUCAAAAUAAAAGGUUUUCUUUAAAAAAAAA
rnacentral:lncRNA from 10 species